rnacentral:rRNA from 1 species
GACGAACGCUGGCGGCGUGCUUAACACAUGCAAGUCGAACGGAAAGGCCCUGCUUUUGUGGGGUGCUCGAGUGGCGAACGGGUGAGUAACACGUGAGUAACCUGUCCUUGACUUUGGGAUAACUUCAGGAAACUGGGGCUAAUACCGGAUAGGAGCUCCUGCUGCAGGGUGGGGGUUGGAAAGUUUCGGCGGUUGGGGAUGGACUCGCGGCUCAUCAGCUUGUUGGUUGGGUAGUGGCUUACCAAGGCAUUGACGGGUAGCCGGGCUGGGCGGGUGACCUGCCACAUUGGGCCUGAGCUAAGACCCAGCCUCGUCCGGGAGGCGGGAGUGGAGUGUAGUGUACUGUGGGCGGAAGCCUGAUGCAGUAACGCCGCGUGCGGGAUGACGGCCUUCGGGUUGUAUACCGCUUCCGCCUGUGACGAAGCGUGAGUGACGGUAAUGGGUGAAGAAGCACCGGCUAACUACGUG